ensembl:misc_RNA Metazoa_SRP Metazoan signal recognition particle RNA
GCCAGGCAUGGUGGCGUGUGCCUGUAAUCCCAGCUACGUGGGAGGCUGAGGCAGGAGAAUUGCUUGAACCCAGGACAUGGAGGUUGCAGUGAGCCAAGAUAGCGCCACUGCACUCCAGCCUGGAUGACAGAGUGAGACUCUGUCUCAG